CUAGCUAGCCCUGGAGGCUCUCUGUGAUGCGACCACAUCCUGAGGUUUUUACAUGACUCAAACCCACAAAACACCCUUCCUGCCCCAUCUCAUCUCCAAUACCCUUUACAAUCCCUGUACCAUUCAUUCCUCCUUGGUUAUCAGAACAGUCUGACCCUUUUCCUGCUUGUGGCAGACCACGUUCCCACUCCAACAUUUGACACGAGAGUAAUGAUAGCUGACACAAAAAGCCCAGGGGUCAGAAGAGACCCAAACUAUCAAGGUAGCUGGCCCGACAACAGGCUCAGGGGGUAAAUGUUUAAUACUAUCAAAACAUCUGCAUCUCUUUUCAGAAAUUUUCAUUAUAGACCCACUGACAGAUACCAAGCGCAGAAGAACAAGGAUGUUUAUGCUAAAUAUGUAAGCUAAGUGGAAAAUCCAUUUACUUCUAUGUGUUUAAAAAAGUAAGACUUUGCAACUUAUAUAUGCAUAAAACCGAGGAAGUCUUUUUUUUUUUUUUUUUUUUGUGGAUCAGAGAGAUGGCUUGACCAGUAAAGGCCACACCAUCCUGAUAACUAUAAUUCGAAGGAUUAUAUGUGUGUGUGUGUGUGUGUGUGUGUGUGUGUGUGUGUUUGUGUGUGUGUGUGUGUGUGUGUGUGUGUGACUUUUCCUCUUAGAUAUUGAAUCUGGCCCCUUGUCUGCUCCUCACUAAUGCAAAUGCAGGUGCUACACUGUUGGAUUUCAUAGACCUUAAGACCAUGAGCCAACAUAAACCUCUUUAUUCUAUAUUCUGUUAUGACAGAAUAGGCUAAGACUGAAGACUGGAAACUGGUAUCAAUGGAGAAACAGAGGCCUAUUCCCUGGGAGAAAAUUAUCAAAAGAGAUGGUAACCUGGAAAUAGCUCAGAUGUCCUGGAUCUUCCAUUCUUCUUUGUGAAGUCAAGCUCCCACCAAUGAGCUGAAUCGUCACCUGUGUCAGGGAGGAAAGACGGAAACCAUCUUUUGCCAAGUGUGCUUGGUAGCUGUGCUGGGGUUCUGUUGUGGCUUGAAUGAGAAUGGCUUCAAUAAGUUCCUAUGUUUUAAUUCUUAGUCCUCAGUUGGUGGGAUCCUUUGGGAAAGAUCAGAACAUGUGGCCUUGUUGAAGCAGGCCUGUCACUGCGGGCAGCUUUGAGGUUUCAGAAGACGUUUGCCUGUUCCCACUGUGCUCUCCGCCUCCUGCCUACUGUUUGAGAUGUGAACUCUCAACCUCUGCUGCUGUGUCUUCACUCUGCCGCUGUGGACUCCAACUCUCUGAAAAUGGAUUCAAGCAGGCAGCCAAGCAUGGCAUUGUUCACAUGGUCCCACUGUGCUCUCUGCCUCCUGCUUGCUGUGUGAGAUGUGAGCCCUCACCUGUUUCUGCCAGCGUGCCUUUGUCCUGCCAUCAUGGAGUAUAGGUUUCUGAAACCAAAAACCCAAUUAAAAGCUUUCAUUUGUAA